CUAUCAUGGCCAUUGCACUUACAAAUGGAGGGGGCAAGCCUCCAGAUUGGCAAGAUUUCAUAGGCAUUGUCACUCUUCUGCUUAUAAACUCCACUGUUAGCUUUAUCGAGGAGAACAAUGCUGGUAACGCUACGGUUUGAAGAGCUCGCUAAAUCGAUUCUAACCACUGAAGUCGAGGAAACAAAGUGAUAAUCAUAAUAUAGAAGAAGCCAAGAAAUUGACCCAUUAACUUUAUGCUUCAGUUUCUGGGCAUCCCUUAACCGAGUC